AGCGGCCGCGGUAAUUCCAGCUCCAAUAGCGUAUAUUAAAGUUGUUGCAGUUAAAAAGCUCGUAGUUGAAGUUUCGGGGUUAGCAGGUCGGUCGUGCCAUCGGUAUGAACUGGUCUCGCUGAUCCCUCCCUCUUGACGAACUGUGAUGCCAUUAAUUUGGUGUCGCAGGGAAUCAGGACUGUUACUUUAGAAAAAUUAGAGUAGUUUAAAGCAGGCUCACGCUUAGAAUACAUUAGCAUGGAAUAAUGAAAUAGGACGUUUGAUCCUAUUUUGUUGGCUUCUAGGAUUGACGUAAUGAUUAAUAGGGAUAGUUGGGGGCAUUAGUAUUCAAUUGUCAGAGGUGAAAUUCUUGGAUUUAUUGAAGACUAACUACUGCGAAAGCAUUUGCCAAGGAUGUUUUCAUUAAUCAAGAACGAAAGUUAGGGGAUCGAAGACGAUCAGAUACCGUCGUUAGUUUUAACCAUAAACUAUGCCGACUAGGGAUCGGAUGAUGUUUAAUUUUUAAUGUACUCAUUCGGUA
rnacentral:rRNA from 1 species